rnacentral:rRNA from 1 species
UAACGAAUCUUCCGCAAUGCACGAAAGUGUGACGGAGCGACGCCGCGUGUGGGAUGAAGUCCUUCGGGAUGUAAACCACUGUCAGGGGUUAGAAAGUUCUGAUCAACCCCAGAGGAAGGCACGGCUAACUCUGUGCCAGCAGCCGCGGUAAUACAGAGGUGCCGAGCGUUAGGCGGAAUCACUGGGCUUAAAGCGUGUGUAGGCGGACGACUAAGUGCCUUGUGAAAUCCCACGGCUUAACCGUGGAACUGCUUGGCAUACUAGUUGUCUUGAGCCACUUAGGGGCGAGCGGAACAAAUGGUGGAGCGGUGAAAUGCGUAGAUAUCAUUUGGAACGCCAACGGUGAAAACAGCUCGCUGGGAGUGUGCUGACGCUGAGACACGAAAGCCAGGGGAGCAAACGGGAUUAGAUACCCCCGUAGUCC